rnacentral:rRNA from 1 species
UACGAAGGGGGCUAGCGUUGCUCGGAAUCACUGGGCGUAAAGGGCGCGUAGGCGGGCCGAAAAGUCAGGGGUGAAAUCCUCCAGCCCAACUGGAGAAGCGCCUUUGGUACUGUCGGCCUCGAGGGGUGCAGGGGCAUGCGGAACUCAGGGUGGAGCGGUGAAAUGCGUAGAUAUCCUGAGGAACACCGGUGGCGAAAGCGGCGUGCUGGACACCUUCUGACGCUGAGGCGCGAAAGCCAGGGGAGCGAACGGG